rnacentral:rRNA from 1 species
CCUACGGGAGGCAGCAGUGGGGAAUAUUGCGCAAUGGACGAAAGCCUGACGCAGCGACGCCGCGUGAGGGAUGAAGGUCUUCGGAUCGUAAACCUCUGUCAGCAGGGAAGAACGGUCACUGUGCUAAUCAGCAGUGAAUUGACGGUACCUGCAAAGGAAGCACCGACUAACUCCGUGCCAGCAGCCGCGGUAAUACGGAGGGUGCGAGCGUUAAUCGGAAUUACUGGGCGUAAAGCGCUCGUAGGCGGUAUGUCAAGUCAAGGGGGAAAUCCCCGCGCUCAACGUGGGAACUGCCUUUGAAACUGGCAAACUGGAGUGUGUGAGAGGAUAGUGGAAUUCCAGGUGUAGGAGUGAAAUCCGUAGAUAUCUGGAGGAACAUCAGUGGCGAAGGCGACUAUCUGGCACAUAACUGACGCUGAGGAGCGAAAGCGUGGGUAGCAAACAGGAUUAGAUACCCUAGUAGUC